UGGGGAAUAUUGCACAAUGGGGGAAACCCUGAUGCAGCCAUGCCGCGUGUGUGAAGAAGGCCUUCGGGUUGUAAAGCACUUUCAGUCAGGAGGAAAGGUAGCUAGCUAAUAUCUAGUUGCUGUGACGUUACUGACAGAAGAAGCACCGGCUAACUCCGUGCCAGCAGCCGCGGUAAUACGGAGGGUGCAAGCGUUAAUCGGAAUUACUGGGCGUAAAGCGCACGCAGGCGGCUUGUUAAGUCAGAUGUGAAAGCCCCGGGCUCAACCUGGGAACUGCAUUUGAAACUGACAAGCUAGAGUCUUGUAGAGGGGGGUAGAAUUCCAGGUGUAGCGGUGAAAUGCGUAGAGAUCUGGAGGAAUACCGGUGGCGAAGGCGGCCCCCUGGACAGAGACUGACGCUCAGGUGCGAAAGCGUGGGGAGCAAACA
rnacentral:rRNA from 1 species